CUAAAAUAUAAUUUUAAGAAUUACUUUUAAAAUAGAAAGCAUUUUUUGUUAAUUCCAAUCCCAAACAACAAAACAAGCACAAUUGUUGUGAUUUUACCUUAACAGAGACCAAACCUCUCCAGGAGAAGAAAAUAAACAAUUGUUGCAUCAUUCUUCAAAUCGGUUCAGUUCGCACGGGAGUAUUUUUUAACUCUUCGGUCUAAAUCCUAAUUCCAAUUAAACUCUCCGCCGCUCCGUUUUGGCCAUCGCCGCCCAAAUAUAAAAAUCCCAAAUUAAUUUUCAUACUGUUUUUUAUCUGAUAUUGAAUCAGACCAAAAUUGCCGACUACCCGUUAAAAAUUUAUUCCCUUUUCCGCUUUUGCGAAAGAAUCAUCGUCACUGAUCUUCACAACUCGAACAUAGUUCUUUCCGUUUCAGGCAAGUCACCCUCCUCCCUCUGUUACCUAUGUACUUAGGUACAUAUUCAGAAACCCUAGUUCGAAGUAUUCAUGCAAGAAUUACGAAUCUCUAAAAUGAAUGAAUUUAUUGAAUUUUUUUAUUAGUCAUUUUAUUACAGUGAGUAAUCAUUUUUAGGUCUACGGCCACGGUCUGGGUUAACUUUAUAUAGCUUUCUUGAAUAUUCAUUCUUUUCCUCAGUUUUCUGUUAUGAUUUUCUUGGUAAUGAUGUAUCUUAUUCAAGAUGAUGUUGUUCUGUAAUGAUAUUUUACCAUCAUGUAACAUCACCCGAUGCCAAUAAAUAUAAGAAAAAUAAUUGUUUUAAGUUAUCUGCUACUUUUUUUGCUUUCUUGAGCAGAAAGAACUUAAUGGCGAUAUUUUAUUAAAUUAGCGUUACUGACCUUCUGGCGUGGAAAAUAUUGAGCUACUUGAUAUUAAAGGUUUUAGAGAGGGCAAAUGUCCACAUGCCUCUCACGAGCAGCUGGGUUUAAAAUUUUUUAUUUUAUAUUUUUUUGCAUUAAAGCCCGAGACAUACAAUAUUUCAUUAAAUGUGUUCCUGUGAAACUUGAAUUCAUGACUGUUGCUUGAUAUCUUGUUGAACUACUAUUUUAUCAUUUAAUCUUACCUUCUGCAAUAAUAAUAUCUAGGAGCAGGAUAUGGAAGUGUGUGUGUAAACUGAUUCGUAAUGUAAACUAUGACACUAACUGAAUCCAUUUUUUUUCAGAGAAGACUUCUAGUGGAAACUACUAACAUUUAUUCUUCACUCAUGCUGAUGCAUUACCCUAUGAUAUAGUACACUGACACGGACACGUGUGUCUGGCACGCGAUUUUUCAAAAAGUACCGACAUGACACAUCACCAACACAUUGAUUAAUUUCUUUUAAAUUCUUCAUUUAUAUAGUAUAAAUUUAGCUCUAUACUUGUUAUUAAUUUUUCUUAUUUAAAUACUUUGGGCUCAGUUCCAGUCUCCUGUUCUCCUUGGAUGAAAGUUGUUUUGCCAUCAAUUGUUGCCCCUGUUUGGGUUCCAUAAAAUGAGUUUUUUUGAGAAAAAUGUGUUUUCAAAUGUAUUUGUUGGAGAAUGUAUGGUAAAAAAAUAAGGAAAAAUUUUGGAUUUUAGUGUAAAAUUAUUUUAUGGGAGAAUGUUUGGUUGGAAAUGAAUUUUGACAAAUAUGUAUUUUUAGAAAAAUAAAGCCCAAAUAGGGCAUUAGUUCAAGUUUCGAGUGCAAAUACUUGAAAGUUUUCUCUCGGCGGGAUUUUCACAACCAUUCUUUGAUGUCAGGAAGCCUAAAGACGUUGCUUGAACUGCUAUAGAACAUUGAUGUCAAGUUCAAAUAUAUCUACUUUGAUGUUGCCACCAGAAUCCUCAAAAGAGAAACACAUGGCAAAUGCAAAUACUGACUUGCCUCAACCUUAUUUACAUCAAGUGCAAAGCUCAUCACAAGGCCCUGUGGCUAUAUUCUGGGACAUUGAGAACUGUCCAGUGCCAAGUGAUGUCCGCCCACAAGAUGUAGCUGGUAAUAUUAGGAUGGCUUUGCGUGUCCAUCCUGUAAUUGAUGGAGUUGUCACAACGUUCUCUGCAUAUGGAGAUUUCAAUGCAUUUCCCAGACGACUACGGGAAGGGUGUCAGAGAACAGGCGUCAAACUCAUAGACGUUCCCAAUGGAAGGAAAGAUGCAGCUGACAAGGCAAUUUUGAUUGACAUGUUCCUUUUUGCUCUUGACAAUUGUCCACCCUCAUCUAUCUUGCUCAUCUCUGGGGAUGUUGAUUUUGCUCCUGCUCUCCAUGUUUUAGGCCAGCGUGGAUAUACUAUCAUCCUUGUCAUUCCUUAUAGGGCGAGUGUUUCAUCUGCUCUGAGUAAUGCAGGCCAGUUUGUCUGGGACUGGCCAAGUGUGGCUCGUGGGGAAGGAUUUGUGCCGUCUGCUAAGGUUUUACUUCCUUCUUAUGUAGUUCCGACAAAUAUUACUGGGUUUUUAACGGGAUGCGAGGUAACUGACAACUUAGAUUGUCAAAAUGAAGAAGAAGCAAUAGUGUAUAGAGGGAUCUCAAAAGGCUGUUGCAAUAAAAGGGAUCUCUCAUUGCUCUCAAGGUCUCCGACUGAAUAUAAUAGUAGUUCAAUAUCCAUGCCCUAUUAUCCUUCGUCUUCCAGAUCACACGGCCUCCCAUCUGGGUUGAAUGAAGUUUCAGCUAAAACUCUUACUUCAUGUGACCAGAAUGACUUCAUGUGGGUACAACCUGGAGAUCUGAAUGGUUUAAAGGGCCAACUGGUAAAGUUGCUUGAAUUAUCAGGUGGGUGUAUGCCUCUAAUCUGUCUUUCUUCAGAAUACCAGAAAAUCUAUGGGAGGCCUUUGUAUGUGUCUGAAUAUGGAGCACUUAAGCUUGUAGAUCUUCUGGAGAAGAUGGGUGAUGCAAUGGCUAUUGAAAUAAGAGGCUCAAGGAAGCUUGUCUACCUCCAUAACUCUAAAGCCAUAUCUGGUGCCCAUCCCUUAAUUUUGGCGAAGAGGGAUAAGAAAGGAAAAGAAGCUCAAGAUCCCAUUGAUGUUGUUGCAGGUGCUGAAUCUUCUGAUGAACCCUCAGAUGAUGAAAGGGUGGUUAUAGGGGAACAUGAUGACAAAAGAGAAAUAGAGAAAUAUAAUUUAGAGAGCCUCAACCUCUUCAAACAUGAGCUUCAAGAGAUUUUGGUAAGCUACUAUUGUCGCAUUUCUCUUGGUUGUUUCGAGGUGAUCUACCAGCAGAAAUACAAAAGACCAAUCAAUUAUCAAAGCUUUGGCGUGAAUGAUUUGGAGGAGCUUUUGGACAAAGUAAGAGACAUUGUUAUGUUGCAAGAGGAACCAGUAAGUAAAAGGAAGUUUCUGGUUGCUGUCUGUGGCUAGAAGAGUUUACUUUCCGCUUUUGGAAUUAUAUUGUGUUGGUGAAGAUGUUACGAGGUAUGCUGCUUGCUGCCUCAUUCUUAAUUUGUUCCCUUUUAGUUCAUAAAUAGGAUGCGUCAAUGUGAAGGACGUUUCUGUUCUUUAUUUUGUCUAACUUAGGCUCGUUGGUUAAUCUCAAGAUUGUUCAUGUAACACUCAUUUCAUAGUGGCUGAAUCUGAUCAACCAAAAAUCUGUCUUAACAUAACAUCAUCAAUCUAUUCUUUUAUAAUUGUUGUUUACACCGUAUUUAUGCUGAACCAAGUGAGAAGAAAAAAUUGUUUCAUCAUCAUGCUUCUUCUUGCAAUCAAAGCAAUCUUAUAAAUCUUACGCAGCUUUGUUCUAGUGCUUAUUAGUCCUUUACUGUAUUAUUGUUCUGAAAUCUGCUUCUAACCUGAAAUUCUGCACGACGUGAAGAAAUCUUUUCACUACUGUUUGUUUCAUCUCCCCAUAAACGGGGCUCCAAUAAUGCUUCUUCCAUAACCAUGUGAUUCUUGUGUUGGACAUAAAAACAUUGCACGCCAAUUAUGGAAGGGAUCAUCAUCAUCAUCAUUAUUGUUGUUAUUAUUUAUUUAUUUAUGGACGGUGAUGAGGGAAUGCUCGUUGAGGAACAAACUGAAGUCACUUUCAAGAAAAUUGUUAAUUACCAUAGUAACUAACUAAUUUUUCCAUCUUAUUUAGUUUAUCCUCCUUGAGGUGGUAGUUUAUUGAAAUUCUUUUUCAUGGUUGCCAAGGAUUUGCAUAGGGGAGUUGCUACUGGUUGAUAUUUGCCAUGCUACCUUGCAAAUGUGCAAGUCACUGCUGUCCAGGUGCUGCGUACUUUAUAAGGUAUUCAAACCUGGGCUUUGGCCGAAAGCAUCCCCAGUAGCCAUAAGAACUUGAUUCUUCAUCUAUGAUCAUUUCCCAAUUCCAUUUACUUUCUGCAAUUUCUGUGUUUGGAAUCCUUGGGGUAUACUGACACAGCACAGUUUUGAAACUGGAGAAAGGUGAAGGUAGCCAUGCAUUUUUUGAGAACCACCAGCACAUUGAUGUUUUAUAAUCCAUGGAAUGUAUUGAUGCAAUUCAGGUAUUAGUGUAUUGAGCAUCAGAGUUUGCUUCUGGUUUGAGGCCUAGAGCACGUUCGACCUGUAUCUACUGUGGAUGAACAGAUUAUCCUACACUCAGAUUCUUCUAUCACCAUGCACUGUUUGACUAGCAAAUUUUCUAUAAUAUCCAACUCCUACAAUGGUGAUCCAAGGAGCAAACAAGGUGGUUAUGAAUAAGAGGGCGCUUUCAUUUCCAGUCGAAGAAAAGAAAUCCCUUUCUCCUCAGCUGCAAAACUACGAUAUGCGUUUUCACAUGUCAUUGCAGAUGGAGGUUGGUCGAUCACUCCCGAUGUGGACAAUGACUUCUAGAGCAGUGAAUAUGUCGUGAGCUCAUCCUUCAUUUCAUAUACUUUGCGCAAGGCAUAACCUAGAUUAUAACUUUUUUCUUUCUUCUUUUAUACCAAAUAAGCUAUGGUGUUAUCCAUGAACAAACAGCCGAGAAAAGCUUGAGAUUUUAUAUUCUUCGAUUGAUAACCAUUGGAAACGCUGUGUUACAUAUCAUUAAAUUUGUUCCUAGUUGAGCUAUAAUUUGGCAGGACGCAUCAUGUUUAUGUUCAUACAGAUGCUUUAAGAAUGCAAAAUUAAUAAAC
rnacentral:lncRNA from 1 species